rnacentral:tmRNA from 1 species
GGGGCUGAAUUUUAAGCUCGACGUUGGACUUUAUCGGUUAGAUUCGCAGGUCGCUUGUCAGCGCAUAGACACAAUCCAUAACUGCAAAAGUUUGGAACCGCGUCGCUACGGCAUUAUUCCCGCAGCGCGCAUUCGCAGUAGCCUAAGUUGCUACCGCAACGCCUGAUACGACACCAGAUAGCUGAAAGGCGUUUCAUAUUUUCUGGAUGCCCAGUCACUCCCAUCCGUAGUGAUUGCUAAGAUUAGGAUUGCUCGUUCGGAAUGUUUGUCCGCUUCGAUACCCGAGCGCUAAGAUUCUAAAACGGACUAAGCCUGUAGACGACUAACCAAGAUAAACCGGCGGACCCGGGGGCAGUACCCGGCAGCUCCACCA